GAUGAACGCUGGCGGCGUGCCUAAUACAUGCAAGUCGAGCGAACAGAUAAGGAGCUUGCUCCUUUGACGUUAGCGGCGGACGGGUGAGUAACACGUGGGUAACCUACCUAUAAGACUGGAAUAACUCCGGGAAACCGGGGCUAAUGCCGGAUAACAUUUAGAACCGCAUGGUUCUAAAGUGAAAGAUGGUUUUGCUAUCACUUAUAGAUGGACCCGCGCCGUAUUAGCUAGUUGGUAAGGUAACGGCUUACCAAGGCAACGAUACGUAGCCGACCUGAGAGGGGGAUAGGCCACACGGGAACUGAGACACGGUCAAGACUCCUACGGGAGGCAGCAGUAGGGAAUCUUCCGCAAAGGGCGAAAGCCUGACGGAGCAAGGCCGCGUGAGUGAUGAAGGUCUUCGGAUCGUAAAACUCUGUUAUUAGGGAAGAACAAAUGUGUAAGGAACUGUGCACGUCUUGACGGUACCUAAUCAGAAAGCCACGGCUAACUACGUG
rnacentral:rRNA from 1 species